rnacentral:rRNA from 1 species
ACUCCUACGGGAGGCAGCAGUGGGGAAUUUUGGACAAUGGGCGCAAGCCUGAUCCAGCAAUGCCGCGUGCAGGAUGAAGGCCUUCGGGUUGUAAACUGCUUUUGUACGGAGCGAAACGGUCUACUCUAAUACAGUGGGCUAAUGACGGUACCGUAAGAAUAAGCACCGGCUAACUACGUGCCAGCAGCCGCGGUAAUAC